GGGUAGAACUCUGGGCCUCACAUCGUCUCCCCCUGUCCCCCCUGCCCCUGCCCCACCUUGACACCUUCAGAGCCUGAUGUUAGCAGGUCCUACACACUCACUUCCAUUCUAUGGCCUCAGAAGGAGAAAGAAACGCUGCUGUGGAGAAAGAGCAUCCUUGAUAGAAAUAGCCCCUCUGAGAGCUCCUCACAUCCCUAUUCUGCAGCCGUCUCUGGGAAAUCAGUGAGCGUCCGUCCGUGGGAAGAGAGCACAGAUGCUCUGUCAGAGGUUAGAAGCAGUCGUCAACUUCAUCUCAAGACGGGGUCCGGGAGAUGGCCUGGCUGUACGGAAGGAACCGCCACUCUGUCCUGCCGCAGAAACGCCACUAAUAGGCACCAAAGGGGAAAGCACAAUGUUUGGAGUGUUCCUAUCACUUUCAUGCGGACUCACGCCACAGGCUGGAAGAGCUUCCGGCAGAAUGGAGGGCUGGGGAAAGCCUGUGAUAAAUCAGCUCUGCCUUUACUAGCCAGAGGUUGCUAUGGCAAUAGGAAUACACUGUAGGUUUUAAGAGAUGUAA